UAAUAAUUAUAUCAAGAUUAAGAGUAUAAGUACAUUUAAUGAACUAGAGAAUUUGUUUUAUAUAUUCAAUACAAAAACACUUAUCUCUACUUGAUCCAUUCAAUACAUACAAAAUGUACUAGCACAAGAAGACGAAACUAUACCGUUCCCAUAAUGAAGAUACAUUAUAUUAAUCUUGGGCUACAAUCAUACCGAUGGCUUUGUCCAAUUUCCAUCUUAGAUUGUGAACAUAAAUUUUAUGCUUAUAAGAACCGACGAUUUAAUCUUCCGUGUAUAAGCUAAACUCUAUACACUAAAUCAUCUACUAUAUAAGUAAAUGACACACAUACUGGUACAUGAUCUAUUUAAUUCUUUAUUAAACAAUGAAUAAAUAAUUGUUCUAUAAUAAAUACUAUAUCCAAACACAUGGUUAAUAGUAUAUAUCCCAACAAUCUCCCACUUAGACUUUUAACCAUGACAAUUGUUAGAAUAUACCAUGUCUAAACGCAUGGUUAAUGGUAUAUACCCCAACAAUCUUCCACUUAGACUUUUAACCAUGCAUUUACAACUUUCACAUGUAUUCCUUUUGCACGACUACCAAAAGUCUUAGCGACUAAGCUCUUUGCGAAAAUUAACUUACCAAGUUGUUUUCUGAUGCAACUUCGUCUAGUAGUGCUUCGUCGUAAAUGACCGGUUCUGUACUAAGAUCUUCAGGGAUCCUAUCAUGAAACUCUCCAAAAAAAUGUAUUUCUUUUCAAGAAUUGUUACAUCCCGUGUUUUCAUGCGUUGGAAAGUGUACCAGUUAAAUGAUAUUAGUAAUGGACACAAGGUUAUCCCCCAAGUUUAUAGGUGGUUAGAUUGAUGGUACAAAUGUGUUGUAAAUAUCAGAAGUUAAACAAAUAGAAGAAAAUAAGUUUCGUCGAGGUUUAAAGUUUAUUUGAGUGAAAUACGGUCCAAGCUAUGAUAUUCCGUAUUUUUGGAAUAGGAAAGUGAACCGUCCAACAUGAGGAAAUUUAUCUGAAUCCGGAGAAUUUGGUUAUAUUUAAGCAUGAAAAACAAGAACUUGGUAUAUGUGAGAAAUGAAGUCCAAAAAUAAUUUGGGCCUUAACAAGUGUGACCACGGUGAUUGAGAAUAAUAUUUUGUGUGUAUCAAAAUGGGCUAUGGACUAGUGCUAUGUCACAUAAUCAUGACAAUGAGUAUAUGAAGGGUGAUAAAAAUAAUUGGCAUUAAAGUAAAUUGAGAUCAAAAAAUUAGUUAUAAGCAUAAUUGAUUAAAUAUAAUGGGAGAGUAAAGAAUUGUUUGUGGUAUUGAUUAAUAAUUAUGUGGAUAGGUGAUGAGUAAUGGUAGCUCCACAUGACACAUGGUAUGGAAAAAAUGAUGAGUAAUAGUUAAGAUAGAUGAUAGACCUUGCACGUGUAAAAGGAAAAGGUAGAAAUGACACCUUUUAAUUCUGUAAAGAAUCCAACAAAUGAUGGAAAGUGCAUCAUCUCUAUUUUUUUUUUGAAAGCUGCAAACAUAAUCCUUUUAGGUAUCAAUAGCAACAUAAUUCAUUUUUAUGAACCACCAACCACGGUUUUCUUCAGGAAACGUAUAACCCCUAUCACGAAGAAACAUAGCGCAUCUUGCUCUAUACUUCGAUUUCACUGUUCUGUUUUAUCGCGUUAUUUAAUUCGGACUUUCUUCAUAUUAAAGUAAGGAGGAAGAAGAUUAUUUCUUGGAAUAUAAGACCUGCGAGCUCGAGAAGUAGACGUUGGACAUUAGAUAGAGUUCAAGGUAGACAGGGAGGUGAGCUUGAUCCAGAUUCUCAGUAGCUGUCAGCUGAUUGAGAGCACUCCAUUGUUCGGAGGUGCUUAUGUUUAUUCUUUUGGUUCCUUUAUGUAUUUCGCACACGACGGAGUCCUGUUCCAUCUAUAUGUAUAAUAUGUCAGUAGAGGCUCGUAGACGCGCAGUGUGGGUUAGAUGGUCUCACAAGAUGUUAUAUUUGUAUAUGUUAUUUUGAUGGCCAAGAGGCAAAUGUAUAUAAGUAUUUAUGUUAUAUAUAAAAUAUGAUUUUCCUACAAUUGGUGUAUAAAAUUGGUAAAAGGGCAUUAAAUGAGUAAAAUGAGUAUUAGAGCGAGUGGUGCUCGGUGGCUAGCCCCGGGUACCCGUCCCGGCCCCUAGUUGGGUCGUGACAGAAGUGGUAUCAGAACAGUUCGUCCUAGGAAGUGUCUACGAGCCGUGUCUAGUAGAGUCUUGUUUAUGGUGUGUAGCGCGCCACGCCAAUAAACAGGAGGCUACCGGGCAUUUAGGAAAAAUGACCAUCUUUCAUCUUAAGAGAUCGUGCGAUAGAGCCAAAAGAUAGGAAAUGGUAUCCCUUAUAUACUGAUCUUUGAUUUCAGCAAGAGAGUAGUGUCGACAAGAGAGGACAAAUAAUGCUACUGGAAAUUACAGAGAUUAAUAUUUCAUUGAAGUUACGUUAUCAGAAAUUGUAUAUACGGAAUGGCGACUGGUCAUCAUCACGGUUAGUAAUUGUGAAUAUAGUAAGAAAAUGGAUUGAAUGUAUAUAUAUUGAUGAUAAGUUCAGUUACAAAGUGUGAACAGAAAAAGCUGAAGAAAUUAGUAAAAAGAUAAGUAAGCAGGGUAUAUGUUAGAUAUAGUGCGAAUGUUGCAGGUAUGAUUGAAAUGUCGCUAGAGAUUAAAAAGGGAAAGUGAACAGAAGAGUAUAACAAGUACAGUUUGAAUUGGACAUACGAGGUAAGUUCAUCAUUUCCAUACAGUUGUUGACAUCGGGAGCCCUGCGUGGCUAUGAUAUACUAUAUAUAUGUUGGCCCUGUGAGGCAUUGUUGGUAUUUUCUGCGUGCAGGUUUUAGGAUAGUAAGAAAUACAGAGGAAACUCUGUCAAAAUUCUCUUAAAAAUAAUAAUAAUAAUAAUAAUAAUAAUAAAUCUUGAAAAGUCAU